rnacentral:rRNA from 1 species
UACGUAGGUGACAAGCGUUGUCCGGAUUUACUGGGCGUAAAGAGCGCGCAGGCGGUCGUUCAAGUCGAGUGUGAAAGCCCCCGGCUCAACUGGGGAGGGUCACUCGAUACUGAUCGACUCGAAGGCAGGAGAGGGAAGUGGAAUUCCCGGUGUAGUGGUGAAAUGCGCAGAUAUCAGGAGGAACACCGGUGGCGAAGGCGGGUCUCUGGGCAGUAACUGACGCUGAGGAGCGAAAGCGUGGGGAGCGAACAGG